rnacentral:misc_RNA from 1 species
UGGCUCCGGCAUCGAUGAAGAACGCAGCGAAAUGCGAUACGUAAUGCGAAUUGCAGAACUUAGCGAGCCAUCGAAUCUUUGAACGCACAUUGCGCCCGCCAGCACUCUGGCGGGCAUGCCUGUCCGAGCGUCGCCUCCACCCGUCAGCGCCGCUGUGUUGGGGCCUAGCGCGCUAGCCCCGAAAGAGAGAGGCGGGGCCCCCGCGCGCCGAGCGUAGUGCUGCACGCCGCUCCGGCCCGGGGGGGUCGCCAGCCCGCGAGACCCCGAAGCCGACCUCGGAUCAGGUAGGAAUACCCGCUGA